GGGAUCUUGUGAUGCACGUGGUUCCCUGACAAGGGCUGUCCAGUUCCCAGGGAGGAAAGGGCAGUCUGUCCUGGUACAGAGCAGAGAGAGGGAGCAAGAAAUACCUCAGCCUGUAGCUCCUGGAGGUGUCUAGAGAUGGACAGCACUGUCCUUCCAAAAGUGGACUGAUACCAUUUUGGUUUCUCUCUGAGACCUCUAACUCUGGCUUGCCACAGCUCCUUUGAUAUCCAUGGUUUCACUUUCUUGCUUGGGAUUUAUGCUGUGAUACCUUUGCCUGAAAAAGCAGGGCUUUUUUGGUAUGGUGUCAAUAAGCAUUUGCAAAAAUCAAUCAAAAAGGCAGCAAGGGGAUUCCACAAUUUCUGGAAAUAUGCUGAUGCUGCUCUACCGUCGUCAGAAGAUAAAAAUAUCGCUGCAAAUUCUAAGUAUCUUCACCUUCCCAUGCCUUGUUGGAGAAUCCAGUCUGUCAUUUGUUCAGAAUACCCAGGUCACAGGCAGAUGCAUUUCCCAGAUGUCAAUCCUACAGGGAUUCCAGUGGACCAGUGUUAGUGUAAGGAAUGCUCCAUCUGCACUAAAAAGAAUGGCAAGAACUCUGAUUUUAAUGCUCUGGUAAAUGUGGAUCACUGCACAUGGCACAGGAAGGAAUAUUUUCAUCAGCAACACCACAACUGAGUUUACAUGUUCAUGAUCUUCAAGAUGUGCCUCUGUAAGGAGACUCAGAAGAAAUCCUUUCCUUUCCUGGACACUGAGAAUAAACCAAAGCUGGUUCUGACAACACUGCUGAUCAA